CGGAAAGUAGCGCAGUUGGUAGCGCACUAGCUUCGGGAGUUAGGGGUCGCGGGUUCAAAUCCCGCCUUUCCGA
rnacentral:tRNA from 1 species